rnacentral:tRNA from 1 species
UUACGGCCAGGAUGUCAAGGGGCGGAUUCGCUGCUUCUCGCGCGGCGGAUCGGAUGUCACCGGCGCGAUCGUCGCCCGCGCCGUCCAC